rnacentral:tRNA from 1 species
GGCGGGGUAGCGCAGUCAGGUAGCGCGCUGGGCUCAUAACCCGGAGGUCGUAGGUUCGAAUCCUAUCCCCGCAACCA